GGAUUAGGCAUGCAAGUCGCACGAGAAAGGUUUCUUCGGAAGCCGAGUACAGUGGCGAACGGGUGAGUAAUGCAUAGACAACUCGCCCUUGAGAUGGGGACAACGCCUCGAAAGGGGUGCUAAUACCCAAUGCCGCCUUGGGCCCGCGGGUCCAGGGUGAAAGGAGGCCUCUGAUUCAAGCUCCCGCUCAAGGAGAGGUUUAUGUCCUAUUAGCUAGUUGGCGGGGUAACGGCCCACCAAGGCUGCGAUGGGUAGCCGACCUGAGAGGGUGACCGGCCACAUUGGGACUGAGACACUGCCCAGACUCCUACGGGAGGCUGCAGUCGAGAAUCUUCCGCAAUGCGCGCAAGCGUGACGGAGCGACGCCGCGUGGGUGAUGAAGGCCUUCGGGUUGUAAAACCCUGUCAGCUACUACGAAACACGGGCGAUGAACAAUCGUCCCGUCUGACUUAAGUAGCAGAGGAAGCACCGGCUAACUACGUGCCAGCAGCCGCGGUAAUACGUAGGGUGCAAACGUUGUCCGGAAUCACUGGGCAUAAAGGGCGCGUAGGCGGUCUGAUAAGUCAGGUGUGAAAUCCCUCGGCCUAACCGAGGAACUGCAUUUGAUACUGUCGGGCUAGAGUACAGGAGGGGAGAGUGGAAUUCCUGGUGGAGCGGUGAAAUGCGUAGAUAUCAGGAGGAACGCCGGCGGCGAAAGCGACUCUCUGGCCUGUUACUGACGCUGAGGCGCGAAAGCUAGGGGAGCAAACGGGAUUAGAUACCCCGGUAGUCCUAGCCCUAAACGAUGGGCACUAAGUAGAGGGGUUUU
rnacentral:rRNA from 1 species